rnacentral:pre_miRNA from 1 species
AGAGGGAUAGCUGGGUCAAAUGGUGGUUUCAUUCCAAGUUUUCUGAGGAAUCUCCAUACUGCUUUUUAUAAUGGUUGUAACAAUUUGCAGUCCCACCAGCAAU